rnacentral:rRNA from 1 species
ACUACGGGUGGCAGCAGUGGGGGAUAUUGCACAAUGGGGGAAACCCUGAUGCAGCGACGCCGCGUGAGUGAAGAAGUAUUUCGGUAUGUAAAGCUCUAUCAGCAGGGAAGAAAAUGACAGUACCUGACCAAGAAGCCCCGGCUAACUACGUGCCAGCAGCCGCGGUAAUACGUAGGGGGCAAGCGUUAUCCGGAUUUACUGGGUGUAAAGGGAGCGUAGACGGGUAUGUAAGUCUGGAGGGAAAGCCCGGGGCCCAACCCCGGGACUGCUGUGGAAACUGUGUAACUGGAGUACAGGAGGGGCAGGCGGAAUUCCUGGUGUAGCGGUGAAAGGCGUAGAUAUCAGGAGGAACACCGGCGGCGAAGGCGGCCUGCUGGACUGAAACUGACGUUGAGGCUCGAAAGCGUGGGGAGCAAACAGGAUUAGAUACCCGAGUAGUC